rnacentral:rRNA from 1 species
UACGUAGGGGGCAAGCGUUGUUCGGAAUUACUGGGCGUAAAGGGCGCGUAGGCGGCCUUCUAAGUCAGACGUGAAAUCCCUCGGCUCAACCGGGGAACUGCGUCUGAUACUGGGAGGCUUGAGUCCGGGAGAGGAAUGCGGAAUUCCAGGUGUAGCGGUGAAAUGCGUAGAUAUCUGGAGGAACACCGGUGGCGAAGGCGGCAUUCUGGACCGGCAUUGACGCUGAGGAGCGAAAGCCUGGGGAGCAAACGGG